rnacentral:rRNA from 1 species
CUACCGGGGUUUCUAAUCCUGUUUGCUCCCCACGCUUUCGCUCCUCAGCGUCAGUACCGGCCCAGAGAACCGCCUUCGCUACUGGUGUUCCUCCCGAUAUCUGCGCAUUUCACCGCUACACCGGGAAUUCCAUUCUCCUCUACCGGACUCGAGUCACAAUAGUUUCGACUGCAGUUCCGAGGUUGAGCCUCGGAAUUUCACAGCCGACUUACUGAACCGCCUACGAGCUCUUUACGCCCAAUGAUUCCGGACAACGCUCGCCCCCUACGUAUUACCGCGGCUGCUGGCAC